CCUACGGGCGGCAGCAGUGAGGAAUAUUGGUCAAUGGACGAGAGUCUGAACCAGCCAAGUAGCGUGAAGGAUGACUGCCCUAUGGGUGGUAAACUUCUUUUAUAAAGGAAUAAAACGAGGCACGUGUGCCUUUUUGCAUGUACCUUAUGAAUAAGGAUCGGCUAACUCCGUGCCAGCAGCCGCGGUAAUACGGAGGAUCCGAGCGUUAUCCGGAUUUAUUGGGUUUAAAGGGAGCGUAGAUGGGUUGUUAAGUCAGUUGUGAAAGUUUGCGGCUCAACCGUAAAAUUGCAAUUGAUACUGGCAGUCUUGAGUACAGUUGAGGUAGGCGGAAUUCGUGGUGUAGCGGUGAAAUGCUUAGAUAUCACGAAGAACCCCGAUUGCGAAGGCAGCUUGCUAAACUGUGACUGACAUUGAUGCUCGAAAGUGUGGGUAUCAAACAGGAUUAGAUACCCUUGUAGUC
rnacentral:rRNA from 1 species